rnacentral:rRNA from 1 species
AGGGCAUACGGUGGAUGUCUUGGCGUCCAGAGGCGAUGAAGGACGUUGGAACCUGCGAUAUGCCUCGGGGAGCCGGUAACCAGGCUUUGAUCCGAGGAUCUCCGAAUGGGGAAACCCGGCCCGUAAGGGUCACCUGCACCUGAAUGCAUAGGGUGUAGGAGCGAACCCGGUGAACUGAAACAUCUCAGUAACCGGAGGAAAGGAAAGCAAAAUGCGACUCCGUAAGUAGCGGCGAGCGAAAGCGGAUAAACCAGUAGCUGCGUGAACGACUUGGAAAGGUCGACCACAGAAGGUGAUAGUCCUGUACUGCAGUAGCUGGCCAGCCCUAGAGUAGCGCGGUGCUCGUGAAACUCCGCGUGAACAUGGGGGGUCCACCCUCCAAGGCUAAGUACUCCUGGACGACCGAUAGUGAACCAGUAAGGUGACUGAAUGAUGAAAAGCACCCCGAUAAGGGGAGUGAAAAGUACCUGAAACCGUAUGCUUACAAGCUGUGGGAGCCCACUUCGGUGGGUGACCGCGUGCCUUUUGCAUAAUGAGCCUGCGAGUUACUCUCUGUGGCAAGGUUAAGUCGAAACACGACGUAGCCGAAGGGAAACCGAGUCCGAAAUGGGCGUCGAGUCGCAGGGGGUAGACGCGAAACCGGGUGAUCUACCCAUGGGCAGGUUGAAGGAGGGGUAAAACCCUCUGGAGGACCGAACACACCUACGUUGAAAAGUGGGGUGAUGACCUGUGGGGAGGAGUUAAAGUCUAAUCAAACCCGGAGAUAUCUCGUUCUCUCCGAAAUAGCUUUAGGGCUAGCCUUGCGUUACAGCGUGUGGGGGUAGAGCUACUGGAUGGGGCUGAGGGGCUUAUCGCCUACUCACUCCAACCAAACUCCGAAUACCACACGCCUCUGUCGCGGGAGUCAGACUGUGGGAGAUAAUUUCCACGGUCGAAAGGGAAACAGCCCAGACCGCCAGUUAAGGUCCCUGAUCAAACCUCAGUUUCUAAGGAAGUCGAAUUGCUGAGACAGCCAGGAUGUUGGCUUAGAAGCAGCCACCAUUUAAAGAGUGCGUAACAGCUCACUGGUCGAGGAAUUCGGCGCCGAUAAUGAUCGGGAAUAAGGUUUGAACCGAAACUGCGGAAUCGUAAGAUUGGUAGGAGAGCGUUCCUGUCGGCGUUGAAGGCAUCCCGGAAGGGUUGCUGGAGCGGCAGGAAGUGAAUAUGCAGGCUUGAGUAACGAUAAAUGGAGUGAGAAUCUCCAUCGCCGAAAACCUAAGGUUUCCUGGGGAAGGUAAAUCCGCCCAGGGUUAGGCGGGACCUAAGGCGAGGCCGAAAGGCGUAGUCGAUGGACAGCAGGUUAAUAUUCCUGCCCCAUCAUGGAAGGUUGAUCCAGCGUGACGGAUCUUGAAGUUCAACGGGACAGUGAAGCGUCCAGGCCCUAGAGGCCGGUGUUGGGUGGAUAGGUUCCAAGAAAAGCCGUCUGGUGACGACCAUGAUGCCCGUACUAAAACUGACACAGGUAGGUGUGGCGAAAAGCCUCAGGCGCUCGAGAAAAUGGUUGUGAAGGAACUAGGCAAAUUGACCCCGUAAGUUCGCAAUAAGGGGGCCCUACUGGCAACAGAGGGCGCAGAGAAAAGGCUCUGGCGACUGUUUAUCAAAAACACAGCACUGUGCGAACACGCAAGUGGACGUAUACAGUGUGACGCCUGCUCGGUGCCGGAAUGUUAAGGAAGUGGGUUAGCUUCGGCGAAGCUCACGACUGAAGCACCGGUAAACAGCGGCCGUAACUAUGACGGUCCUAAGGUAGCGAAGUUCCUUGUCGGGUAAGUUCCGACGUGCAUGAAUGGAGUAACGACUGGAGCACUGUCUCCACAACCGACUCGGUGAAAUAGUAGUGGCGGUGAAGAUGCCGCCUACCCGCAGCAAGACGGAAAGACCCCGUGGACCUUUACUGCAGGCAUAUAUUGGUCAUGGAUGGAUACUGCGCAGGAUAGGUGGGUGGCUUUGAAGUGGAGGUUUCGGCCUUCGUGGAGCCAACCUUGAAAUACCACCCUUGCAUCCUUGAAAGUCUAACUGUGAUCCGUCAUCCGGAUUCAGGACAGUGUCUGGUGGGUAGUUUGACUGGGGCGGUCUCCUCCUAAAAUGUAACGGAGGAGCCCAAAGGUCACCUCAGCACGGUCGG